rnacentral:misc_RNA from 1 species
GAUGAAGAACGUAGCGAAAUGCGAUACUUGGUGUGAAUUGCAGAAUCCCGCGAAUCAUCGAGUUUUUGAACGCAAGUUGCGCCCGAAGCCAUUCGGCCGAGGGCACGUCUGCCUGGGUGUCACGCAUCGUUGCCCCCCCAAACUCCGGUUCGGGCGGGGCGGAAAUUGGCCUCCCGUGCGUGCCCGCGCGCGCGGUUAGCCCAAAAGCGAGUCCUCGGCGACGAGCGCCACGACAAUCGGUGGUUUUUUGCCCUCCUUCCUCGUCGUGCGCGCCCCGUCGCCCGUACGCGCUCCUGCAACCCUCACGCAUCGCCUCGGCAGCGCUCCCAACGCGACCCCAGGUCAGGCGGGACUACCCGCUGAGUUUAAGCAUAUCAAUAAGCGGAGGA